GAUGAACGCUGGCGGCGUGCCUAAUACAUGCAAGUCGAACGAAACUUCUUUAUCACCGAGUGCUUGCACUCACCGAUAAAGAGUUGAGUGGCGAACGGGUGAGUAACACGCGGGCAACCUGCCCAAAAGAGGGGGAUAACACUUGGAAACAGGUGCUAAUACCGCAUAACCAUAGUUACCGCAUGGUAACUAUGUAAAAGGUGGCUAUACUACCGCUUUUGGAUGGGCCCGCGGCGCAUUAGCUAGUUGGUAGGGUAAAGGCUUACCAAGGCAAUGAUGCGUAGCCGAAUUGAGAGGUUGAUCGGCCACAUUGGGACUGAGACACGGCCCAAACUCCUACGGGAGGCAGCAGUAGGGAAUCUUCCACAAAGGGCGAAAGCCUGAUGGAGCAACGCCGCGUGGGUGAAGAAGGUCUUCGGAUCGUAAAACCCUGUUGUUAGAGAAGAAAGUGCGUGAGAGUAACUGUUCACGUUUCGACGGUAUCUAACCAGAAAGCCACGGCUAACUACGUG
rnacentral:rRNA from 1 species